AGAACGAACGCUGGCGGCAUGCCUAAUACAUGCAAGUCGAACGAACACUUCGGUGUUAGUGGCGCACGGGUGCGUAACGCGUGGGAAUCUGCCCUUGGGUUCGGAAUAACAGUUGGAAACGACUGCUAAUACCGGAUGAUAUCGAAAGAUCAAAGAUUUAUCGCCCAGGGAUGAGCCCGCGUAGGAUUAGCUAGUGGUGAGGUAAGGCUCACCAAGGCGACGAUCCUUAGCUGGUACUGAGAGGAUGAUCAGCCACACGUGGGGACUCGAGACCACGGCCCAGACGUCCUACGGGAGGCAGCAGGUAGGGAAUACGUUGGACAAU
rnacentral:rRNA from 1 species